AACCAGGAUGUUGGCUUAGAAGCAGCCAUUCAUUUAAAGAGUGCGUAACUGCUCACUGGUCAAGUGACUUUGCACCGAAAAUGUAACGGGGCUAAACUUGUUACCGAAACUGCGGAUUUUAGUAUUACUAGAGUGGUAGAGGAGCGUUCUAUUGUAGGACGAAGGUAGAUCGAAAGACUUACUGGACGAACUAGAAGUGACCAUGCCGGCAUGAGUAGCGAUAAAACAUGUGAGAAUCAUGUUCACCGAAAACCUAAGGUUUCCCAUGCGAGGCGAAUCCGCACGGGGUUAGUCGUAUCCUAAGGCGAGGCCGAAAGGCGUAGUCGAUGGCAAUCAGGUUUAUAUUCCUGAACCACCGGGUGAGUGUGAAACACAAAGAGACGCAAGUUUAAGGGCUGAAUAGGAGAUGGCUCCGAAGCGUCAAGGACCUUUUAUUUUACAAAAGGUUUCAGCUUGAUUUCUUGCCAAGAAAAUCUUUGUGUGGACGAACUUUGGUGUGCGUACCGUAAACCGACACAGGUAGGUGAGGAGAGAAUCCUAAGGUGCUCGAGAGAACUCUGGCUAAGGAACUCGGCAAAAUGAUCCCGUAACUUCGGAAGAAGGGAUGCUCGAAAGAGCCGCAGUGAAAUGGCCUAUGCGACUGUUUACUAAAAACACAGGUCUGUGCUAAAUCGUAAGAUGACGUAUACGGACUGACGCCUGCCCGGUGCCGAAAGGUUAUGGUGAGGGGUGAAGGAGUAAUCUGGAAGCUCUGAACCGAAGCCUCGGUAAACGGCGGCGGUAACUAUAACCGUCCUAAGGUAGCGAAAUUCCUCGUCGGGUAAAAUCCGACCUGCACGAAUGGCGUAACGACAUAGGCACUGUCUCGGCCAGAGACUCGGCGAAAUUGUAAUACCGGUGAAGAUGCCGGUUACCCAUAGAAAGACGGAAAGACCCCGUGAACCUUUACUAUAACCUGAUAUUGGGUUUUGGUGUAGCAUGUGUAGGAUAGGUGGGAGACUUUGAAGCUGGAGCGCUAGCCUCAGUGGAGUCGUCCUUGAAAUACCACUCUUGUUGCUCUGGAAUUCUAACUUUGGUUCGUGUAUCCGGAUCAAGAACAGUGUCAGGCGGGUAGUUUGACUGGGGCGGUCGCCUCCCAAAUCGUAACGGAGGCGUUCAAUGGUUCCCUCAGCGUGAUUGGAAACCACGCGUGAGUGCAAAGGCAUAAGGGAGCUUGACUGCGAGACAGACAUGUCGAGCAGGUACGAAAGUAGGACUUAGUGAUCUUGCGGUACUGUGUGGAAAGGCCGUAACUCAACGGAUAAAAGGUACUCCGGGGAUAACAGGCUUAUCGCGCCCAAG
rnacentral:rRNA from 1 species